UUAAGUCCCGCAACGAGCGCAACCCCCUAUUGUUAGUUGCCAUCAUUCAGUUUGGGCACUCUAGCGAGACUGCCGGUAAUAAACCGGAGGAAGGUGGGGAUGACGUCAAAUCAUCAUGCCCCUUAUGACCUGGGCUACACACGUGCUACAAUGGUUGGUACAACGAGUUGCGAGUCGGUGACGGCGAGCUAAUCUCUUAAAGCCAAUCUCAGUUCGGAUUGUAGGCUGCAACUCGCCUACAUGAAGUCGGAAUCGCUAGUAAUCGCGGAUCAGCACGCCGCGGUCGAAUACGUUCCCGGGCCUU
rnacentral:rRNA from 1 species